GCCAUGGCUCACUGAUAGAGCAUCUGUCUUGCAUACAGCAGGUCCCUGGUUCAAUCCUCAGAUAGGAAUG